UACGUAGGGACCACGCGUUGUUCGGCUUUACUGGGCGUAAAGGGCGCGUCGGCGGCUUAACAAGUCACUUGUGAAAUCUCCGGGCUUAACUCGGAACGGCCAAGUGAAACUGUCAAGCUAGAGUGCGGAAGGGGCAAUCGGAAUUCUUGGUGUAGCGGUGAAAUGCGUAGAUAUCAAGAGGAACACCUGAGGUGAAGACGGGUUGCUGGGCCGACACUGACGCUGAUGCGCGAAAGCCAGGGGAGCAAACGGG
rnacentral:rRNA from 1 species